CCCUCCAAGGGAGGUAGAUGGAGGGGGGAAAGAAGCCCUGCAGACGUUUCUCACUCAUCUACCAGCAAAUCCCAACCUGAGAAUGCCAGGUGAAGAAGCCAGCCUCUCGCUCAAGAAAUAACCCACAAGAAGCCCGGCAGCAGUCACUGCAGAGCUUGCUCAGAAGUUCACUCCCUCUGCCACAGUGUAUGCAGCUUGCCAGGUAUAGCCUGGAUGAGAACACCUCGUGCUUUUCCCGAGAUUAAUGAGAUCAGCACAUAUUCAAGCAAGGAAAAAAAAUACCACCAAGAAUCCUUCCUAAUAUAUGUGAUGGUUUAUGACCCAGAGAUUUGGCUGCAGCUCAGGCAUUAUUGGGAUCACCCCUACAGCUCUUCCAUUGCUCAGGGAUCCUGUGGUGUUCCACCUGGCAGGAGCUGGUGUGUGAAAGAUGUCCACAAAAUUGGCAGCUGAAAGGUAAAGUGGCUUCUCUGAUGGCACUGAAUACUGAGGAGGAUGUUCAACUUAAUUUAAAAGACAGCACUGGUGAGACAGCCAGAGCAGAGAUGAAAUGGACAUGGAGACGUGGGGUUUUCACUGCAAUUCAACUACCUACUUGCCUGAGGUUUGGACUUGAGGACAAAGCUGAUCCGGGCCUUGCCUCCCUCCAUUAUCCUCCAGCCUGGGGAGUUGCAGAUUCUCAGAGCAUUUGAUACUCCUGGGAAGAACAAGAUGCAUGCUGGACCUGAAUGCAAUGAAAAUACCUGUCUCCAGACUGAAAGCAAUCUCUUGUAGAAAGGCUGAGAUGCUCUGAGGACAGGUUAACUGUCUCUACCCAUGGGACAGCAAGAAUGUACCAGGCUUCUGGCACUACCAGGAUCACCAAAUAUGUGUGUGCUGGGCAUCACUUGAGACACUGACAGCAUGUGAUGUUGAGUUCUAAUAAAAAUAACACCCAGAUAUUAGCAGCCACAAGACCUGU